CUACCCUUGACAUGUCUGGAAUCCCGAAGAGAUUUGGGAGUGCUCGCAAGAGAACCGGAACACAGGUGCUGCAUGGCUGUCGUCAGCUCGUGUCGUGAGAUGUUGGGUUAAGUCCCGCAACGAGCGCAACCCUUGUCAUUAGUUGCUACGAAAGGGCACUCUAAUGAGACUGCCGGUGACAAACCGGAGGAAGGUGGGGAUGACGUCAAGUCCUCAUGGCCCUUAUGGGUAGGGCUUCACACGUCAUACAAUGGUCGGGACAGAGGGUCGCCAACCCGCGAGGGGGAGCCAAUCCCAGAAACCCGAUCGUAGUCCGGAUCGCAGUCUGCAACUCGACUGCGUGAAGUCGGAAUCGCUAGUAAUCGCGGAUCAGAAUGCUGCGGUGAAUACGUUCCC
rnacentral:rRNA from 1 species